UGCCAGGGUGUGAAGAAUUGAUCAAGUAGCGCCGCUUGGUCUUUGAAUUGAUUGAUCAGCGUCGUUGCUUGAUCCAUUCUCUGCAUCCACAAU